rnacentral:rRNA from 1 species
ACCGGCAGCUCAAGUGGUGGCCAUUUUUAUUGGGCCUAAAGCGUUCGUAGCCGGUUUGAUAAGUCUCUGGUGAAAUCCCGCAGCUUAACUGUGGGACUUGCUGGAGAUACUAUUAGACUUGAGGUCGGGAGAGGUUAGGGGUACUCCCAGGGUAGGGGUGAAAGCAUAUAAUCCUGGGAGGACCACCUGGGGCGAAGGCGACUAACUGGAACGAACCUGACGGUGAGUAGCGAUAGCCAGGGGCGCGCACGG